rnacentral:tRNA from 1 species
GCCUGGGUGGCUCAGUCAGUUGAGCGUCUGACUUCAGCUCAGGUCAUGAUCUCUCACUGUCCGUGAGUUUGAGCCCCGCAUCGGGCU